rnacentral:rRNA from 1 species
UGAGGGCCCUCUGGGUCCAACCUCCCACCCGUGUCUAUCGUACCUUGUUGCUUCGGCGGGCCCGCCGUUUCGACGGCCGCCGGGGAGGCCUCGCGCCCCCGGGCCCGCGCCCGCCGAAGACCCCAACAUGAACGCUGUUCUGAAAGUAUGCAGUCUGAGUUGAUUAUCAUAAUCAGUUAAAACUUUCAACAACGGAUCUCUUGGUUCCGGCAUCGAUGAAGAACGCAGCGAAAUGCGAUAAGUAAUGUGAAUUGCAGAAUUCAGUGAAUCAUCGAGUCUUUGAACGCACAUUGCGCCCCCUGGUAUUCCGGGGGGCAUGCCUGUCCGAGCGUCAUUGCUGCCCUCAAGCACGGCUUGUGUGUUGGGCCGCCGUCCCCGGUUUCCCCCGGGGACGGGCCCGAAAGGCAGCGGCGGCACCGCGUCCGAUCCUCGAGCGUAUGGGGCUUUGUCACCCGCUCUGUAGGCCCGGCCGGCGCCAGCCGACACCCAACUUUAUUUCUAAGGUUGACCUCGGAUCAGGUAGGG